UUAGCCAGUUGGCGGGGUAACGGCCCACCAAAGCGACGAUCGGUAGCCGGCCUGAGAGGGUGGACGGCCACAUUGGGACUGAGACACGGCCCAAACUCCUACGGAAGGCAGCAG
rnacentral:rRNA from 1 species